rnacentral:rRNA from 1 species
AUUGAACGCUGGCGGCAGGCUUAACACAUGCAAGUCGAGCGGAGUGAUGGUGCUUGCACUAUCACUUAGCGGCGGACGGGUGAGUAAUGCUUAGGAAUCUGCCUAUUAGUGGGGGACAACAUCUCGAAAGGGAUGCUAAUACCGCAUACGUCCUACGGGAGAAAGCAGGGGAUCACUUGUGACCUUGCGCUAAUAGAUGAGCCUAAGUCGGAUUAGCUAGUUGGUGGGGUAAAGGCCUACCAAGGCGACGAUCUGUAGCGGGUCUGAGAGGAGGAUCCGCCACACUGGGACGGAGACACGGCCCAGACUCCUACGGGAGACAGCAGUGGGGAAUAUUGGACAAUGGGGGGAACCCUGAUCCAGCCAUGCCGCGUGUGUGAAGAAGGCCUUAUGGUUGUAAAGCACUUUAAGCGAGGAGGAGGCUCUUUUGGUUAAUACCCAAGAUGAGUGGACGUUACUCGCAGAAUAAGCACCGGCUAACUCUGUGCCAGCAGCCGCCGUAACAC